rnacentral:sRNA from 1 species
UAUAUUUAUGAUGUAUACGUGCAUAUACAUUAAUUGUUUUGUCGGUUUAUUAUGAUCAAACAAUAGUUUGUCUGUCAGAAGAUUCAAGAAAUAUCUUUGAAUCUGAGAGUUUCCAAAAAACGUUAUGAUGAAAAUUUGGCAUAUACGUAUUUCUGACAAGCUGAUAAUAUUGUCAUCUUGCAUUUCAAGCAGUUUCGACAAAAUUUUAUCCAACUGUUAUAUUCAAACUAAUUGAAAAUCGAAAAACCACCAU